UGGGGAAUAUUGGACAAUGGGGGAAACCCUGAUCCAGCGACGCCGCGUGUGUGAAGAAGGCCUGCGGGUUGUAGAGCACUUUUAGUGGGGAUGAAAUGUGCAGGGCUAACACCUCUGCAUUUUGACCUAACCCACAGAAAAAGCACCGGCUAACUCUGUGCCAGCAGCCGCGGUAAUACAGAGGGUGCAAGCGUUAAUCGGAAUUACUGGGCGUAAAGCGUGCGUAGACGGUUACAUAAGUCGGGUGUGAAAGCCCCGGGCUCAACCUGGGAAUUGCAUUCGAGACUGCGUAGCUAGGGUGCGGAAGAGGGAAGCGGAAUUUCCGGUGUAGCGGUGAAAUGCGUAGAUAUCGGAAGGAACACCAGUGGCGAAAGCGGCUUCCUGGUCCAGCACCGACGUUCAGGCACGAAAGCGUGGGGAGCAAACA
rnacentral:rRNA from 1 species